rnacentral:hammerhead_ribozyme from 1 species
ACCCAGCCGACGAGUCCCAAAUGGGACGAAACGCACAUCUUAGAU